UAUCAACAAGGUCAAGUGGAACGAGCUGUUUAUCCCAGAACUGCUAUGGAGGAAUUCAUCUUUUAAUAUUGUCAAGGUGGAACCCUGUUUGUCUUAAUAACUGCAAUCACUGCCCAAAGAAUGAUUAGUUCUAGAAUGUUUCACUGAAUCACAACAAGGUAAAGUAAGGCCAAAGGAACUUUAGUUGAACUACUCUUGGCUCCUACUAUCUUUUUCCAAAGAUCUGUUUAUAAGACUUCCUAGAAAUGGAAGAGCACACACACCAUUUCACACACACACCCCUCCAACUAGGGAGGGAGGGCUUUUGGUCCAGAGCAAUGCCUGUACACAGUAAGAUAUCAUGUUCCUAUUUACGUCAUACUGUAUCCCUAUAAAGGCUGAAAGUUACCCCAUAUUGUUGGGAUUGUUGAUACUGCUGUGAAAUGAAGAUGAUUGUAAGUCCAGAAUAAACGAAUCCCCCUGCUGGUCACUGAAGAGAAGCUGUGGUGUCUGGUCUCGUCUGUCUGUUUUUUAAGGUUAAAUCCUCUCCCACAUAAUUGGCGUUGUCGGCAGGAUUAGAACAAGGGAGAGGAAAGAAAGGCUUUCCACAGCAUCUACCUCCAGUGGCAAGACGGGGCCCAUUGAGAAACAGAAAAGAGGAGGCCAAAGGAAAAAGGAAAACUCUACAGGGCAGAGUUUGAAAUGUAAGAAUAACAUAAAAAACUCUAACCCUUUGGUACCUCCUUGGCAACCCCACUCAUUUGCCAAAUUAAACUCGCUCUGUUCAAAGAACAUUAACCCAUUAAUAGCCCUACUGUUGUCAUUUGGGUUCACUGGAUUAAUCAUUGAUUUUGAGUUUGAGUUGAAGCCUACUUAGAAUGGAUGUUCAAUUGGACGUGUGAUGUGAUGUAUGAGGUUAUUUGAAUAUGUGAUAUGCAUGUGAUAAGGUAUUAACAUUGCAUGUUUGGCUUUAAGCAUUAACAGUUGCUUCAAUCGUAAUGCAGAGCAAACACGGUGUGUGAAAGCAGACACACACGCAUGCUUUUAAAUAACCGCUGACAAGCAACUUAUAGAAACGCAAAACUUUUUAACUAUAGUAAUCAAUAGAAUAAAUGCCGGCAAGAUUAUCUAUAAUAUACAAAAGUUUGUGUACGUCUGUCUUAGUGUUGUCUAAAAUGUUGUGUACGUCUGUCUAAGUGUUGUUUAGGGGUAUUUUGUGUAAAUGUUUAAUCUAUGUUGUGAAGGUGGUUUACUGACAGUUGUCUGACUUUUAUCUGUGCUAUCGCAGUAUGUUUUAAUAAUAAUGUUGAUAAGCAUUAUUAACGCAAUGACAUAAUGGAUCAACGAGAAUUUAUUAUAGUAAACAAGGGUCAUAAGUUUUAGAUGUCCACAAUGCCUGAUGUCUCAGUAUUCACAAAAGUCCGGACUGAAGUGAAUGUUGGCGAAUUGCCUUAAGAUUAUGCAUUGGAUUGUACUAAAUUCUUAGGAAUACUGGGGUGUCAGUCAGGCUGGAACUCAAUUGUGAGGUUGAUUAAAGGAAAUCAUCAUCCAUAAGCCUUCGUCAGUAUCAGGAGUAUUAGUGGAGGAAACAAAAGAGGAAAACCAUGAAUGAUGUUGUGUAUUAUGUGAUAAUGAUGUCUUAAGAUCUAUGAUCAUUAGAAUUUUGGUAUACUUAAGGUAACAUAUUGAGUUAAUGGUGUAUUAAAUGAAAGUGAAUAUUAUUGAACUUUGUGGUUAUGAAAAGACUUUGGAGUUGUUGUGCCUCUCCAGUCCUAAAUACCAGGAUUGACACAAUGUCCGGAGCUGCAGAGCUCUGAGAGCGGACAGCAGAGAGGAGAGGAGAGCAGCAGAAGGGGGGCUGAGACUCCCGACUGCACAUGGGCGAUCCUAGAAAAAACAGGGCCCCAACAUAUUAGACGUCUAUCGGAUCACUAUGAUUCAAUAAAACAUGAAAUUUAAAGAAUAUGGGAAAUCUGGAUAAUUAACAACAACUUAAACAGGGAAACUGAAAAGGAGGCUUGUGAUCAAAAGGUACUUCUAAAUUAGUUCUCUUUUGGUUGGUUCACCAUUGAGACUGAUUAUUAAAAUACAAAUUUAAUGUAAGCAACAGCUGAAAUUGUAGGAUUAACAGUGAUUAAUAAGGUCUAAUUUGAAUAGAAUUAGAGUUGUCAAAGAAUAGGUUGCGAUAAUUGUCAUCCUUAUUAAAAAUAAUAAAAUAAAAUAACUUAGAGUGAGAAGUAAGAUGGUGAAUUAAUUAUUUUGCCAUUGGGAAACCUCUGUGAAUUUAUGUGAUAACAUCCAAAAUUAUAAAAUGACUUCAGAAAAUUGGUUAAUUUCGUUGCAGGGAAAGUAAUGAACAAAAUAGAACAUAAGAAAACUUAAGGAAUCAACUCAUUAAUCUCUAAAUGGUGGAUCUGAUGAAAAGGGUUGCACACGCUGAAAUGGCACUGAAGGAGAAAUGCCUAAUGAAGCAGCUGACUGAUGAUGGUAUAACCUGAGGUUUGUCAACACGGAGAACCAGAACAAAAUCUUCCUCGGUGGGAAUCCAGCAUGGAUUCCAGACCACUGGCUCAGUGCCUGCUCAGACAUGGAGCAGCGAAGGACGCUCAGGCCGUCAGGAAACACGGCUGAGCAAAGGAAGCGGUCUCCACAUCCGUUGACAGAAUGCCAUGGAAGAGAGCUGAUGUUUGUGAAUUGUGAAAACCCAGCGACUGAAGGUCCACCACAAGAAUUAGCAAAAUCCAAUCAAUUUAAUAAAUUCUGGAAGUAAAGUAAAACAAAUAUUGAGAAUGGCAACUAGUUACUAUAAAGUAACAAAAUUACAUAAGUGGCUAAAAUUGAAUUGUCUAGUGUAAUUAUUAACAGAAAAUUCCCCUGCCUCAGUAAAGUUAACAUUUUAUUUUAUUUCUUUGAAGGUAAACCAGCAGACUGUUGAAUAAUAAAGACGAUGGGUUCUCCUAUGACAAAGUAAUUAAUUACCUCAUGUACUGUUAAUUAGGAAAUAGGCACUUUUAAGAAGAGGAUAGCAGAAUUUGAGGAUUACAGAACAAAUGAAGUAUUCAACACUAGAGCGUCACGUUAUGAUUGAAUGACACGAGUUGAUUGGGAAACCAAUAACUUAUGUAUUUGUGAACAGAAUUAUUCUGCAAGCAUGGCUGAAGUACGUAAACACUAGAGUAAGAUUAGAGGCAUAAAGUAAAAGAAUUUGGUUUGAAGAAAUUUCAGAAAUAGUAUUGAAUCCUUUAAACUUUAGACAAGAAGGACAUGUUAUUAUUACUAACUUCUCUUUGCCGUUAUACUAAUAUUCUUAAAGUGGUUUGGAACAAGUUCUGUGAAGAAACACAAAUCACAAGCCUCUGCUCAGUUGAGUGAGUAUUUUAUUUCGGUAAUUAAAACCUUGGGUAAAAGUGAAUCAAUCUGUGACAGCAACCCGUUUUUUGGUAUAACUAUAAAAAUCCUAAUGUAAAAAGAUACAUGGUGUAUUUGUAAAUGCUUCAUUUGAAAAUUGAGUUUCUCACCGGGUAAACAGACUCAGCCAAAAUAAAAAAGAGUAAAUGACCGGAUUUCCGAGAGUAAUGACAGGACCAGGUUUUGAUUGCAUGCUUGGCAUUAACAACUCAGUCCUGAUUGAGAGCACUAACUGUUCUGUCUUAAGUCCUGUUUUUCAGAAGUUGAGAUUCUGUCCGGUUCUGGCCACCCUUUUUCUGAUGGAAGACACAUCAAAAAGACGAGAAGAACAGCUGUAAGUUGAGCAUGGAGGGACGGUAUGAUAAACUAUAAAGUGAAAAUCAGACUGAUGUCAACCUCUGAUUUAAGCAAUCAAAUUUUCAAGUGACUUAAAUGGAUCUCUCUGGCAAAACAUUGUCAAAAGGUUAGUGUAAUAGUUGCUUGCGUAAACAUAUUAUUUAAUGUCACAUGGAUGCUUGUGAUCAUACCGGUAGGAUAUAGAAAGCUAAUAUUAAAACUUAAAUCUAGGUAUUACCUUUGAUGAAAGUAGGUUUCCAGAAAUAACUUAGGAAAAAGGAAACUCAACUUUUAUUAAAAAGAAAUGGGAAUAACUACUGUUAUACGAUCAAGAUGUGGAAGAUUAUUUAGCUAUUUCUGGGAACAGUUCCACAAACGUUGAUCAACAGAUAACUUUAUCUUAACAGUUGACCUCUGUUGGUAAACACAGGGUGUCAUGUUCUGGAUUUUUGCUCCCUUUGCCCCGCUGCCGAGGACACACAGACCUUAGAUGUUUUCCCAACUUCUGCACAGAUAUUUCCUAAUCUCUGCAAAGAAAACUGAAAAUAAACAAUGUUAAACAAGUUAUUGAUUAGUAAAUUGGGUUACAUGGCUGAAACAAAAUUUCAGGUAUUUUAAAUAAGGUUACUGUUUUCUCGAAACUGAAAUAUUAACAUUAUUAAAAGAGAAGCGAACAUUAGCCUGAAUUACCUUAAACUUGGAAGAGACCUGAGGUUUCAAUGCGACGUUCCUAUUAACUCUUCUCUAUAAAGUUAUGGGAAAGGAAAAGGUGAGUUAUCCGCUAUUUCAUAAAGAAUGUGUAAACAGGAAACGACAAGAGAAGGAAGAACAUAGCCCGAGUCCCGUCCGUCUCUGAGGAAUUUUCCUUUCUUUUCUUUUUUCUUGUGCUCAUGACUCUGGAUCCAACUCACAACAUUUGGCAAUGGUAUGCAACUCUCAUUGCACAAUUAUCAAAAUAGUUGGACGAGCGACAAACUACUAUUUGAAAAACAAAAAGAAAUAACAGUUUUACUAAUUGUAUGUAUGCUGGCUUAUAAAGUCUUUACGGUUGGAAAAGCAAAUUAUCUUACAAAGAAUGUAAGUUCCACAAAUUUACAACAGGCAAAAUGAACAGGAUAAGUAUGCGCAGAACAAAACAUAUUUGAUUAAUCUUGGAAUCUUGGUUUAUGUGUAGGUUAUAUUUUAGUACUGUGAAUGGAAUUAUAAACAAUUCUAACUAAAUUACCUGAGUUACUAAAAGAAGAAAAACUGGUGAUGAAGUUCCACACCUUUUAUGGAGAAAUAGAGCAGAUAUUAGAUAUAUGGAAAGUAAUUGCAACCCACAGUCCUGCUGCAGUCUAUCUCUGCCUAGUCUCUGAAUUUAUUUCAUCCUAGCGUCCCUUCUAAUUAUCCCAUAGCAGCCGACAGUUAGAAAAACAUUGACAGUUUAUCCUACUAUAUGAGAAACGCUGCGUAAAACUAUUCAUUAAGUGACUAUUUGAUUAACAUUUAUUUCUUGUUUGUUCACUUUUGAGCUUUCAUCGACAAGUAGUCGUUACAAAUACCUUAAGAUGGACAUGAAGUGUUGUUCAUGCACAAGUUUGGAAAGAGGUUUGGUAAACAUUAGUGAGGUCGGACUGACCUCGGAGUAAAGAGAGCGAUAACAUUGUUUAACUGUAGUGUUCCAAAGAUAAGUCAAGUAGCGGAAUUAAUCGGUCUGUUUUUGUGCUUUUGAGCCAAAACGUUUACCGGAAGUUAUGGUAGUUAGGGUCAUUUUGACCUUUUUCCUGGCUCCGCCGAUGGGAGUAAAGAGGAAACAUCUGGAGUCGUUGUUUGAGUGGACUGUUCCAAGAUAUGUCAAGUAGUGGAAUUAAUAGCUCUGUUUUUGUACUUUUGUGAUAAACACUUCCCAGAACUUUCGUCCAGUUUCCAACUGGACGUCAAUAGCGUGUAACACACACACACCAAUGGAGACACACAGACUCUUGUGUUUAACGCACACACAUCUGUAAGCCUUAAAUAGGCAAGUGCUGGAUAUGAAUGUUUGAGAACUCUCUGCUGGAACCCGUUUGCGCGUUCCAGGUGUAAUAAAUAGAGUUCUUGUUGUCGAGACAGAGGUUUAGUUACUGUUACACAAGGACUUUUAACACAUAGGAGGACCACUUAGGAAUAAAGUGACAAAACAUGGAUUAAGCAUUCAAUAAAGCGGCAUAAUGGUUAUUAGUGGAGUUGAGAAAUUUGGAGUUGAGAAAAGACGCUGAAGAGCAGCACGGACGUGACCAAUACAGACCAUAAAAACUCAGACCUAUGUAAAAUCAUGAUAACUAAAACUGAUUAGAAUGUGAGGGUUUUUGAGAAAGCUGGAGUAAAUGUACUAAUUCUUGAAUAUUCUUGUCAACCGCUCGCACAUUAAUGGGUCAAUAGCUGACAAGGACGGGCUCACCAAGGAAUGAAGGAGUUGAUGUUUAUAUUGAAGCUCAUCGCUCUGUUUAUAUCAAGAGAAUCGUUCUGUUCAGAAUGUUCCAGGCUUUAAAGAGCCAUUACGUGUUCACAAUAUCUGAAGUCCUACAUCUGGAAACACUUUCAAGUUACAAAUCCAGGAAUGGUAAUUUCUAUGAGGGUUGUAGCCACAUCAAAUCUAGUCUGAAUGAUUAGCACAAGAUCAGGUUCAAAGUAAAAUUAUUGUAUUAAAGUCGAAGUACGUUUAGAAGCUGAUGAUGCAGGAUCAGUAUAACAAACUAUAAAAGGGAAAACCUUUUUUGUUGAGUGCAGGUAAGAAUAGAGAGAAGACAGGGUCUUCUGCUUCUAAAUCAAUGAUAGCGUUUAGACAGAAAACAUUGAAUUUGGAGCACCGACAAUAAAUUACUACAUACGGCAUUUAAAAGGUAAAUAGGCAACAUGUAUAUUUUAUUAGAGGAAAGUAAAAAUCAAGCGAUUACAGUUACUCUGAUGAACACUCUGAUCAUAAUAUUGUGUUUAAGGACAUAAGGGGGGGUGUUUAGAAUUUAUUGGCAUACUUGGUUAAGAAUAGAAGGAGUACAUUAACACUAAAUAAGAAGUUAAGCUCGGAAUAAACAUAACAGAAGAAGAAUGGACUCUGAUCUGGAAGCAUCAGUGGAAAUGUACGUCUUCACAGAGAUGGAGAGAGUUUGGAUGGAAAACACUGAUAAGAUACUUUAUUACCCCAUAUCAAAAAUCACACUAUGAUGGAAAUCCUCCUGUUUGCUGGAGAAAAUGUGGAAACCUGCAAGCAAACCAUUUUCACAUUAUGUGGGACUGCUCGGUAGUUAAACAAUAUUGGAAAGACAUCCACAAAACACUACAGGAGAUAUUUAAAUGUAUAAUUCCCUUUGAUAUGAAAACUAUUUUCUUUGGAAACAUACCACAAGGUUGGAUGAAAAAUGAUAAAUCUCUUUUGAGCAUGUUGUUAGUUGCUAGUAAGAAGGGUAUAACCAAAAAAUGGUUAUCACAGGAGGUACCACAUCUGUCAACAUGGUGGGACAUAAUGUUGGAUAUUUAUAAAAUGGAAGAGAUGACAGCAGCUAUAAAUAACAGACAGGGAUGGUUCAUGUCAUGCUGGGAAAAAUGGAUUGAUUAUACAAACUUAAAAAGGCCCGAUUUCAUUCUGAAAAUGUGAAUAUGUGAGAUAAUGGCAAUGGUCACUCCCUUCUGUUCCCUUAUGUGUGUGUUUUUUUUUGUUUCUGUUUGCUCUCUUUUCUUUCAACAAUGGGAAACAUGUUAAGAUGUCUAAAUACUAAUGAUAUAUGUACUUUUCUGUACAUGUAAAAAAUACCCAUUGGUAUAAAUUUGUUGAAAAACUCAAAAUAAAGAAUUAAAAAAAAAAGAAAAAAAAGAAGUUAAGCUCAACGUGGUAAGGGCGACUCACAUGGAAGUAAAUACUAUUUAGUGGUUUAAACUAAACAUUAUUGAAUGAAUCUGAGCAGUCGGUUACAUUUUUGGAUUAGGAUUGCAGUGCAGUACAGAGUAAUGAAUAAUUGAAACUUUUUUUUUCUAAAUUCCUGAACAACAGAGAAUAGAAACAUAUCACUUAGUUUUACUUAGUUCUGGAAGCAAAAGGGGGCCUUAACUUCUAACACUUCUUCUUCUUUUCUUCUACUUUUGCUUCUUUAUCGUGCAUGAAAACCCUGGUCAACUAAAUUUUAAUCGUAAAGAUGGAUAUUUCUGUUAGAAAUAUCUUUCAGGAGCAGACGGAGAGCAGAUUUGCACAGGAGAAUGGCUGAACCUGGGUACUGGCGGAGUAAGCCCUGUGAACAUAUCUUUUCUAAAUUGUGAAUUUUGAUGAAUGAUUUUGUGACAAAUGAGGACAUUGUUAAACCUUUUUUGAUAAAUAUGUGUAGAGUCACUAUUUUGCAGUUGAUGUGGACUUUAAGUUCUAAAUGUGCUCAUGUAUUUUAUUUUCUACUGUUCCUAUGUCCUGGAGUGGAGCAUGGUUCAUGGAGGAUGGGAUGAAUUGUCACCGAAGCGGACUUUCAUGUAUGGGCUGAUAAUAUAAUGAGAAAAGGUGAUGUUAUUAGAAAACAAUUCGAACAAUUUUUCAGUAAGACCAUUGCUUUAGCUGCUACAGGUUGCAUGUUCUGCUGUGGCUGAACAUUCUACAUUAUUUUCAAACAUUAUGUUCUCUAUGUUCUUAAUAUUUUGUUUUUAAUUGAGUCGGCAUAGCUGUUGUUUUUGUUUUGAUUUACGCUUUCAGGUGAGCGAUCUUGGAAGGUAUUUAAGUUUGGAAGUUCAAGUCGAAUACACACAAAAAGAUCAUGUUGCAGGAUAAGUUAAGGUGCAAUUACGUAUACACAGAGUGUUGUAAUGUUAUUAGUGAAUUCUUACAACUUAUACGCAGUACGAGUUGAGAUAAAACUGAAAUGAAAUCAGAUGGACACUAAACAUCAAUGUUAAAGAAAAUGUACAUUAGCCCCAUUGACAUUUGAAGGAUAUCAUCAUGAGACUAGUGAAGACUCUGAGCUGGGGAACCAUUGUAAUAUACGAUACUGGUUAGUUUUUCCUGUCUCCUUAGGGCAACCCAGGGACGUAGAAGGGCGGGGUCCCUCUUUGUGUGCUGGACUAAGGGACUCAGAGGCGUGAUGUUUGCAACAGAGGGGGCCCUGCACCAGGACUGUGAGAAAGCAGUGCGAUUUAAUCAAAGGACUUGUAUCCUGGAGAGCGACAUACCGUGUCAGCGACAUGAGGACAAGAACUUUGCCACACUACGAAGCUGCCAAUCCCAUCAAAUGUUAUAAAUUCUGAUUUUAUCUAUGCUAUGCUAAAUCCCUGAAGUUUUUGAUUUAUGAUAAGGUGUAUGAUGGGCAUAUUUUUUAGGUAGAUGUUUUUGGGUGGUAACAGUAGAAACUGAAUGAUGAUAUUAUACUAUUCUAAUUUUUUUUUAAUUUUGCUUAAUAUGUUUGUCUUCUUUCCUGUUAUUUUUAAGAUGUUUAUGUCUUUUGACGACAUUGUGAGUACCAUGGCUGGGUUUCUGAGCCAUGCUGGUCGGUCAGGUGGUCGGCUGGCGGACGCCCGUGGGGGAGGGGUCCAUGCAACAGUUUUUACCCUGAAUAAACACAUAAAUACCAGCAACAGGGAUUUUUCGGUUGCAUAUGGUUAGAAAUAACUGGCCUAUGGAAAAACAAUGGACAUUUUGUACAUUCGUAUAUAGUUGAGUGCAUGUUUUUAUUUUAUUCUACAUUUACGACCAUACAUUACCAAUUUUUCUUUGUUCUUUUUUUCUGUUUGAUAAUCAAAGCAAGUAUUUUUACCCUUUUAUAUUCCUCUAUUACUCCACAAUUACAUUAUUCCACUUUUCUUAUAGUUCCCAGUGUGAUUUUCCCUUGAUAUGGCUCACGUAAGUGAGCCAAAGGGGGGAUGUAUGGAGGAAUUCAUCUUUUAAUAUUGUCAAGGUGGAACCAUGUUUGUUUUAAUAACUGCAAUCACUGCCCAAAGAAUGAUUAGUUCUAGAAUGUUUCACUGAAUCACAACAAGGUAAAGUAAGGCCAAAGGAACUUUAGUUGAACUACUCUUGGCUCCUACUAUCUUUUUCCAAAGAUCUGUUUAUAAGACUUCCUAGAAAUGGAAGAGCACACACACCAUUUCACACACACACACACCCCUCCAACUAGGGAGGGAGGGCUUUUGGUCCAGAGCAAUGCCUGUACACAGUAAGAUAUCAUGUUCCUAUUUACGUCAUACUGUAUCCCUAUAAAGGCUGAAAGUUACCCCAUAUUGUUGGGAUUGUUGGGACUGCUGUGAAAUGAAGAUGAUUGUAAGUCCAGAAUAAACGAAUCCCCCUGCUGGUCACUGAAGAGAA